AUUGAACGCUGGCGGCAGGCCUAACACAUGCAAGUCGAGCGGAGCGGCGGACGGGUGAGUAAUGCCUGGGAAUCUGCCUGGUAGUGGGGGAUAACGUCCGGAAACGGGCGCUAAUACCGCAUACUAUCAGAUGAGCCUAGGUCGGAUUGGCUAGUUGGUGGGGUAAAGGCCUACCAGGGCGACGAUCCGUAACUGGUCUGGGAGAAUGAUCAGUCACACUGGAACUGGGCAAGGGUCCAGCUCCCUACGGAGGGCAGCAGGGGGGAAUAUUGGACAAUGGGCGAAAGCCUGAUCCGGCCAGGCCGGGUGUGGGAAGAAGGUCUUCGGAUUGUAAAGCACUUUAAGUUGGGAGGCGUUACCAACAGAAUAAGCACCGGCUACCUUCGUGCCAGCAGCCGCGUAAUAC
rnacentral:rRNA from 1 species